rnacentral:rRNA from 1 species
GGUUCAUUCAAAUUUCUGCCCUAUCAACUUUCGAUUGUAGGAUAGAGGCCUACAAUGGUUUCAACGGGUAACGGGGAAUUAGGGUUCUAUUCCGGAGAGGGAGCCUGAGAAACGGCUACCACAUCCAAGGAAGGCAGCAGGCGCGCAAAUUACCCAAUCCCGAUCGGGGAGGUAGUGACAAUAAAUACUGAUACAGGGCUCUUUUGGGUCUUGUAAUAGGAAUGAGUACAAUUUAAAUACCUUAACGAGGAACAAUUGGAGGGCAAGUCUGGUGCCAGCAGCCGCGGUAAUUCCAGCUCCAAUAGCGUAUAUUAAAGUUGUUGCAGUUAAAAAGCUCGUAGUUG